CCAUCAUUUCAUUUCAUUUCAUCAUUUCAUCUCAUGAUUUCAUCUCAUCUCAUUAUCUCAUUUCAUCUCAUUAUUUCAUCUCAUUUCAUCUCAUCUCAUUUUCCCAGGUAGCUGGGACCCCAGGUGCGCACCACCACACCUGGUUAAUAUUUUAUUAUUUGCAGAGAUGGAGUCUUGCUAUUCUGCCCAGGCUGGUCUCAAACUCCUGGGCUCAAGCAAUCAGACAAGGUCUCACUAUGUUGCCCAGGCUGGUCAACUCCUGGACUCAAAUGAUUCUCCAAACUUGGCCUCUCAAAAUGUUGGGAUUACAGGUAUGAGCCACCAUGCUUGGCCUAAAAAUAGUAUCAGAGGAGGGCAGGGCAAUGCAGGACUGGGCCAUGGCAGUGCCUGGUCAACUCCGGGGCAGGG
rnacentral:lncRNA from 10 species